rnacentral:misc_RNA from 1 species
AGGUAUACCUGGUUUAUCAGGUAUAUAUACCUGGUUCAUCAUAUAGAUAUACCUGGUUCAUCAGAUAGAUAUACCUGAUUUGUCAGGUAUAUAUACACCUGGUUCAUCAGAUAGAUAUACCUGGUUUAUCAGGUAAGUAUACCUGGUUCAUUGUUGUUAGCACUCAUCCAUACCUCUGAUGGCAAUGUUACUCUAUGCACUUACUAGAAAAGUUAAAAAUUAACACAUUGAUCUACAAAAUGCAUACUUGUACUAAUGAAUUCACUUUAAAACCAUUGUGCUUAUUUUACAAGAGUUCAGGGUAUCCCUUGGUAUUAUUAAGAAAUAGCCGAAUGUGUUCUGCGUUUCAUUUACAUCUUAGUCAAUCAACUGUUAAUCUAUGGUAUAUCAAUCAGGCUAUGGGUAUCCUGCUGUUUAUAGACAAUUGCAGUUCAAGAUUUCUAAAUAAGAAUACCAUUAUAUAGCUGCACAUCUGUCUAUCCAAAUUUUUUCAACCAGAGAGCUACAGAUCUGCAGCUACUGUUAGCUAUGUGUAGCCGACUUCACUCUGUAUGAACUAUUAGUUAGAUCUCCUGUAAGCUAUGUGCAGCUGACUUCACUGUGCGUCUCAGGUCAGAGUCUCAGUCAUUUCAUGUGUUGUUCGGAAGUUUGGAGAAUACUAUUUAAGUUUUAUGUAUCGGCCAGUGAUUUAAUGUAUAUUUAAAAUAAAAUCCUGUUAAUCUUAUUCACUGCCAUAAACAUAACAUUGACAUGUCAUUUGAAGGGAAUCAGACUGUAAGUUGAAUAAAAAGACAAGAUAAUUCU